GAAGUUCAGGUAACACUGAAUGGAGGACCGAACCGACUUACGUUGAAAAGUGAGCGGAUGAACUGAGGGGAGCGGAGAAAUUCCAAUCGAACCUGGAGAUAGCUGGUUCUCUCCGAAAUAGCUUUAGGGCUAGCCUCAAGUGAUGAUUAUUGGAGGUAGAGCACUGUUUGGACGAGGGGCCCCUCUCGGGUUACCGAAUUCAGACAAACUCCGAAUGCCAAUUAAUUUAACUUGGGAGUCAGAACAUGGGUGAUAAGGUCCGUGUUCGAAAGGGAAACAGCCCAGACCACCAGCUAAGGUCCCAAAAUAUAUGUUAAGUGGAAAAGGAUGUGGCGUUGCCCAGACAACUAGGAUGUUGGCUUAGAAGCAGCCAUCAUUUAAAGAGUGCGUAAUAGCUC
rnacentral:rRNA from 1 species